rnacentral:rRNA from 1 species
AUUGAACGCUGGCGGCAGGCCUAACACAUGCAAGUCGAGCGGAUGAAGGGAGCUUGCUCCUGGAUUCAGCGGCGGACGGGUGAGUAAUGCCUAGGAAUCUGCCUGGUAGUGGGGGAUAACGUCCGGAAACGGGCGCUAAUACCGCAUACGUCCUGAGGGAGAAAGUGGGUGAUCUUCGGACCUCACGCUAUCAGAUGAGCCUAGGUCGGAUUAGCUAGUUGGUGGGGUAAAGGCCUACCAAGGCGACGAUCCGUAACUGGUCUGAGAGGAUGAUCAGUCACACUGGAACGGAGACACGGUCCAGACUCCUACGGGAGGCAGCAGUGGGGAAUAUUGGACAAUGGGGGAAAGCCUGAUCCAGCCAUGCCGCGUGUGUGAAGAAGGUCUUCGGAUUGUAAAGCACUUUAAGUUGGGAGGAAGGGCAGUAAGUUAAUACCUUGCUGUUUUGACGUUACCAACAGAAUAAGCACCGGCUAACUUCGUG